rnacentral:rRNA from 1 species
AACGCGAAGAACCUUACCCACCUUUGACAUGUUCGGAACCCUUUAGAGAUAGGGGAGUGCUCGAAAGAGAGCCGAUACACAGGUGCUGCAUGGCUGUCGUCAGCUCGUGUCGUGAGAUGUUGGGUUAAGUCCCGCAACGAGCGCAACCCUUGUCAUUAGUUGCUACGAAAGGGCACUCUAAUGAGACUGCCGGUGACAAACCGGAGGAAGGUGGGGAUGACGUCAAGUCCUCAUGGCCCUUAUAGGUGGGGCUACACACGUCAUACAAUGGCUGGUACAAAGGGUUGCCAACCCGCGAGGGGGAGCUAAUCCCAUAAAGCCAGUCGUAGUCCGGAUCGCAGUCUGCAACUCGACUGCGUGAAGUCGGAAUCGCUAGUAAUCGUGAUCAGAA